GGUUAGGGGGUGAGGGGGAAGCCUCAGGGGUCUCUUUCAGAGAGUGUGGGCAGGAGUCGAAUGCACUCUCUGGGAAAUUCUCCUCUGUAUGCUGGCCUUCGGGCUUCCCGUCUACAUUCCCAAGCCCCAACUCUGCAUUGAUCCAGAUCGGGUACCAGUUCCGACGGCCCUACACCCAACUCUUUCUAGCCAGGAACAGCGGCCCACUUGGGGAAGCAUCUUUCUUCUUGAGGGCUGGCCGUACACCUGCCAACACUGGACCUCAGCGUUACGCGUGCCUACAUACUCUGAUCCUUUCCAGAAACCGUCUCCCAACACAUUUCCUUCUCACCGAUCUCUUGUGGCAUUUUUUUUUACAAGCAAGGAUUCAGGCAAGGAGAUUCAUCGUUCGGAAGCGGCUGGGAGGGGGAGCGUCACAACAACGUGGAAUUUAAACCAACUUAAAAAUCCGAUAGGAAUACACCAACGGAAUGAAACGAAGGAAAACCAAAUCACGUAUGAAAAGAGGGGAGGCAAAAAGACCACCGAAGACACUGACUGUUGGAGAGUUGUACAAUGUGACCCGUUGCUGCGCUACAAAAGUGACGUUACCUUCCAUCUCUCUCUUAGCCGCCCCAGGGCUCGGUGGGGCUCCCAGACCUUUUUAGAGAAAGAAGAACAGAAGCCAGAUAUUGCACAGGGCGAGGAGCACAUUAGGAGAUUGCAAACGAGGUACAGAACGUUCAACAGAAAAGAAUGUCCGUAACAAAAUGGUUUCUUAAGCAGAAGUUACUCACAGUACCGUGCAAUACCGAAGCCAAGCCACACGCAGUGAAGGUGGACUGAUGGAGUCAAAGCUCCACCUUCAACGCACUGCUAGAUCUGGCUUCAGCUACGUGGAAGUGAAAAUAGUCACGUUUUUCCAUCGCCAAGAUUUCAGGGAUCGAGGAACUUCUAAGCGGGGGCAGGACUCCUACCUCCUUAUGAUUCAUCAGAAAAUUAUGCAGCACAAAGGAAAAUGAGAAUCAAGAACAGAGUGAACAGUCUGGAGAGUCACCAAGGUCAGUUACUGUGCUGUUUGGGGUUGUAGAUGAUUUAUCAAGGAACCGUGAGCACUUAUCCAUGGUUUGCUCUGGUAAGCUGCUUUUCCCUGAAGAGAUUUAACUUUAUUAAAGGCACCCCCGACCUUCUCCGAACGCAUCCAAGGGCAGAAUUAAACGAGUCAAAAGCACACGUGAGGUAGGAACUGCAGGAGCAGAACGACAGCUUCCUGCCCAAAUGCCACUUGGCUGUGUUUCUAAAAAGGCGGCUCCAAAACCACAUUGGAAUAACCUGGUUCAGUAAACACCCCCCUUUAUCCCUCUCUGCCACAGGCUUCGGAGCAAAAGCCGGAAGAGGAGCAACUGCCCAAGAGAGGGAAAAACCUAAGGGAACCGAUAAAACACCAGGGUGGGCGCGAGGUACACGGAGGUGGCACGGAACGAGUCCCCACACCGGCCGGCAAGCUGGCGGGGGACCGAUACCACAACCCCCCGCCAACCGGACGCUGGAAGGCGACGCUUCGUUCGGCCUGGGCGGGACGCUCUUCGGAAGGAAGACGGCGUUUGAGAACCACCGCUGAACCAGAAAAAUGUUAAGCUGAUUCAUCCGUGUUCCUACUGCCUAUUCACCAGGCUCCCUGCUGAGGAACCGAAAGUCCAACCUGCUACUGCUUUGGGAGAGUGCAAAACUUGGGCCUGCAGUGAUGCUGAAAGACUGAUGCAAACUCAUCUCACCAAGAGCCAAAUCCUCUUCCUCAGAGAGCUGGGCCCCCUGCCAGGUUGGACUCACCCACCGGAUCGCCUCCCAAGUCGGAGGAGGAAAAGGCCCCCGACCACGUGGCGAGGGGGAAGCCCACAGGGGCGUCCGGGCAGCCCGGCAAGUGGCCACUGGGAACAGCGCCAGUGUGCGUUCCCCAUCACCGCGUGGUCCGGUGGCCCCCCUUUUCCUGUUGCCGUUGCGUCCUGUUGCUGACAGAACCUCUGCCGCCAAAGCUUGGCUCCCUGGUGUGCGGCCACCGGGAAGGGCGCCCAGCUCUGGAGGCGGGAGCUUCACCAACAGCACGACGCGGUGGCAACCGGGAAACAGCUCCAGACGCCGGCGGUGGCCAACGCGUCAGCCCCACGAGGGGUGGGCUCUGGGGAGGCCGGUGGGGGAAGAAAUCUGGGUCCCACGGGGGCCUUCCCAGCUCCGCUGGGGCAUCUUCAAAUACGAAGGACAACCCUGGGUGGUCGGGUUCACCAUUCCGACCGGCACUUCCUCACCAGCCUCAAAUAUCCCGAGGGGGCCGAGCAAAAGCUGUCACGCACAAACGGUUAGAGCGAACACAAGAGUCACCCGACGCAGUCCGUACUCUGAGAAGGAACUGGAGGGCCGGGGGUUCUCGAGGGAGCUCGGCUCGGCCUGACCGGGAGGGGCGGCGCGGGACCGUCCGACAGCGUAGGCGACUGGCAGGGACUGGAGCGAGGCGACGAGCUCGGCGAGGUCCCGGGGCCAGAGCCGGGGGCUAACGGCUGCAGGUGCUGAGGUAGACUCUCUUCAACUUCCACAUUGUCGUCAUCGAUGUCUCCUAGGAAGGGCAGAGGCUUCGCGUCAGAACGACGGAGCAGGGAAUGGCAUUUCCCGUCGCCCCUGAGACGGGGGCCAGAGUCGGACGGCAGCAUUUCCGACGAAGAGAGCCCAGCCACAGACGCUGACAUCAUUUCUCACGUCACAGCCGAGGUUGACGGGCAAGCGGGACGAUAAGGGGCACAAGACCGAAACGGAAAACCCAAUAAAAUCCUGCCGCUGAAAUAUUUAACACAACAACCAAGGAAGGAGAGAGAGAUCCCCAAGAGGUUAUCGCUUGUUUUUUCAGAAAUCGUCCCCUCCGCCGGAACGUGCGCUUUCAUCACGUGAGUAAGCGGCCCGGCUGCCAUGCGUUGGGAGCCGUGACGUGGUGCAACGCACGGGGCGUGAACUGGUCGGGAUGCAGUCCCCACCGUCUUCUAGACCCUAAGCUCACCGUGGGUCGGCAAUCUGUCUAUCGAUUCUGUUAGGCUGGACUCUCCCAAGCACUUAGGACAGUGCCCCGCACACGGUAAGCGCUUAGUAUAGUCCCUGGCCCACAGUAAGAGCUUAACACAAGGGAAGAUCAAGAGGAGGCAAAGGGGAUGCAAUUGACUCUUAGGGAGCAUUCCUCGAAAUGGCCGGAAAGACCUGGGAUCAAACUCUGAGGGUGGAAGAAGAAGGGACACCUCCAUGCCAGCAAAUUUAGGAGUUGGACAGACAGACCUUCCAUAUCGAAAUCCGUAGCCACUUCGGUGUCUUCGCCCAGCAGAGUGGAGCUGGAGGAGGCGGGCAACGUGACGCUGAUCUUCUCCAGACUCAUUUCUUCUUCCAGAUUGGCGAUCCAGUCCGGGCUUUUUAAGGUAAUAUUUAUAACUCUGCCCAACAGCUGGACGUUGAACAAGCGAAAGUGAAAUUUCAAUGCACCGGUGUAAAAAAGCCCCCAGAGUUCACAAUA